GAAUUGAUCCGGGAGUUGACGAGGGCUGCAAAGGUGGGAAGUGAAGUCAGUGCCUCAGUUGCUGAUCAGUGUGUGUUCUGUGUCCAAUUCUUUUAUCACCAAAAAAGAGAAGAAAUAUUGCAGUGAAUGAAGAUUCCUCUGCAUUUUAGCACUGCUUUUUCAACUGUGGUUGGCUUUUGAAUGAGGAUGACAAUGGAAGAGAUGAAGAAUGAAGCUGAGACCACAUCCAAGGUUUCUGCGCCCCUCUCUGUAGUCAUGUAUCCUGUGUUUAAAGAGCUAGAACGAGUAAAACUGUCUGCAGCCCAGACACUGAGAGCCGCUUUCAUUAAGACUGAAAAAGAAAAUCCAGGUCUUACACAAGACAUCAUUAUGAAAAUUUUAGAGAAAAAAAGUGUAGAAGUUAACUUCAUAGAGAGUCCCUUCUUUGUAUGGCAGCUGAUGAUAUAAAAGAGUAUAUGAUUGAGUGGCCAGAGCCAGAAUUCCAAGACCUAAAUGAAAAGGCACGAGCACUUAAACAAAUUCUCAGUAAGAUCCCAGAUGAGAUCAAUGACAGAGUGAGGUUUCUGCAGACAAUCAAGGAUAUAGCUAGUGCAAUAAAAGAACUUCUUGAUACGGUGAAUAAUGUCUUCAAGAAAUAUCAGUACCAGAACCGCAGGGCACUUGAAUACAAAAAGAAAGAAUUUGUAAAGUACUCCAAAAGUUUCAGUGAUACUCUGAAAAUGUAUUUUAAAGAUGGCAAGGCAAUAAAUGUGUUCGUAAGUGCCAACCGACUAAUUCAUCAAACCAACUUAAUACUUCAGACCUUCAAAACUGUGGCCUGAAA